rnacentral:rRNA from 1 species
AAAUCCUAUGGCUUAACCAUAGAACUGCUUGGGAAACUGAUAAUCUAGAGUGAGGGAGAGGCAGAUGGAAUUGGUGGUGUAGGGGUAAAAUCCGUAGAGAUCACCAGGAAUACCCAUUGCGAAGGCGAUCUGCUGGAACUCAACUGACGCUAAUGCGUGAAAGCGUGGGGAGCAAACAGGAUUAGAUACCCUGGUAGUCCACGCCCUAAACGAUGUAUACUAGUUGUUGCUAAGCUAGUCUUGGCAGUAAUGCACCUAACGGAUUAAGUAUACCGCCUGGGGAGUACGGUCGCAAGAUUAAAACUCAAAGGAAUAGACGGGGACCCGCACAAGCGGUGGAGCAUGUGGUUUAAUUCGAAGAUACGCGAAGAACCUUACCCGGACUUGAUAUCUAACAAAUCAUCUAGAGAUAGAAGAGUGUCUGCUCGCAGAAAUGUUAAGACAGGUGCUGCACGGCUGUCGUCAGCUCGUGUCGUGAGAUGUUGGGUUAAGUCCCGCAACGAGCGCAACCCACGUCAUUAGUUGCUAACAGUUCAGCUGAGC